UUGUUAGUCUCUAAGGUGCCACAAGUACUCCUUUUCUUUAUAUGUCCCCUCAUACACUGAGCCCCACUCCUGGCUCAAGGAGGGCAAGAGAGUGCUAUCUUCUCCAGCCCUAAGCAUGCUGCUUCUGCCCCAGCAAAAUUCUCCUUUUGGCCUAUUGUGUCUCUUCUCUCUCCAUGUGAAGGCACCCUCAUAGGUUGAUGAGCUGAAGCAGAUGCAGGGUAGAGGUUAGUAUUAGUGGUGGAAAUCACACUUUGAGUCUAAUUCAUUGUGGUGUGGAGAGAUUUUAAAAUUUUCUGUGUUAAGAGCUCCAUGUAAAGAGCUAUGCAGAGGAAAUCAUUUGCAGGGAGCACAAAUUUUAUUGAUCCUAUAAAACCUAGGAACUAUGUUCUAAAUUCUUGAGCUUCAUCUAUUGGCACUCUGAUAUUAACUAUUUACAUACACAGACAGCUAUUGUUUAAAGAGCACUCCUGUAACACUGUGUUUCAGCUGUGAUGGCAAAUGGCACGUCUCAUUUUUUCCCUCCACCAUUAGGCCCAUGAAGUCUCGCCCAGCAAAAUUGCUCUGGGAAGUAGACAAUUUAGUAAACUCUGGAUCCCUCCACUCAGAAAGAGUGUGAUUUUUUUUUUUUUUUUAUUAUUUAUUUGAUGCUAUGAGUAACUUUCUAUUUUUUCUUGGGCCUGGACUGUGUCCCAAGAGUUCAUGCCUUGUGAUUUCUAGCCUGGAUUAAUGCACCUCCACCGGGACUUCCCUUGGCAACCACUUGGUGCACAAUGCAGCUUCUCACCUGUUUGGUGGUGUCAGCCUCAUGGAAAUUAUUAUGCCAUUUCUCGAGACAACUACACUGGCUUCCUAGCUGCUUCCAUGUGCAAGUUAAGAUGUUGACUUUGGUCUAAAAACCCUAUAUUGGGUCGAGGCCUGGCUGUUUUAGAGACUACCUCUAUUGACUACCAUAUCAGACGAGAGAAGGUCACUGAGCUAACAGUUUGGAGACUGGUGGCAGGUAGUAUUUUCUUGGGGAAGGGCCUUUGAUUCUGGAAUUCAUUGCCCCUGCUGAACUGACACAGCCAGAGUCUGCUGAUCUUUAGGGGAUAGUGCAAGGGAGGGUUUUGUUUGAAAUGAGUGGCUUGGGGGUGAGUGGUGAGCUUUGUAGCAGGUUAGUGGGGAGAAUGUUGUCUUUUCUGCUUUUAGUUAAAAAGUAAUUAAAAUUGCAUAUAAUUAAACAUAGCAUAGGCACUGUGGGACCUGGUAACUCUGUGCAUGUUAUACAUUAAAGGAUGGAUCUGUAGUAAUGGUGUGGUAAUUAUCAGGGCUUUUGUCAUUUGUGUCUCAGAUGUUUCAUGUUGUGAAUGUGGAACAGCACAAACAAAUCUGCUAUCCUUCAGUCCAAGGCCCUUCCUUACCCACCCCCACUAUCCCACUUAAACCUCCCACUCAAAAAAAGGUGUCUUCUCUCACCAGGCUAUCCUGGUAAAUAAAGGAAAGAAAGAAAGCCCACCUAGUCACACUGGAAAAGACCUGUAAUUCAUUAUAGCAAUGUCACCAAAAUCUAGUGUGGAGGGGGGAGGUAAGUGUUACAAACUGCAGAUUUAUGCAAGUAUUUAAUAGUGGCUUGCCAAGAGAGUCUGUACUCUUUUCAGAAGGAAUCUUUCUUUGUGUCUUUUGAUAUUUAAAGAGCUGUAAUUACAAUGGCAAAGCUUUGAAUUCUUUUUUUUUCUGUCCUCUUAUACACAUUAAUUUAUGGACCAAUCCAACAUUACAGACAACCUAAUGAAAGAAUCACACACUCCCUUUAUACUUUUUUUUUUUUCCUUUUUACAGUUUCACUUUUGUGGAUGAAUGCAAAGUAGUUGAUGCUAUAAAUAAGUUUAAUGAUGUAUCUCGCCCCUCAAUUGCUGGUUGUUGAUGCUGCAGUCCUGCAUAAUAGGAGAAGAAAGGAACUGAAUUUCAAUCUUUAUUUGUCUGCCUCUCUUUCUCUCUCACUCAUGAUCCAAAAGGCUCCUCCAACUACUAAAUUCAAAUGUUCCUCUUUUGUUUUUUUUCUUGAUAUUUCAAGCUCUUAACAUGAUUCCCUCCCAUCCCCCUUGCUUUGCUUUGCUUUGUUUUGUUUUGUUUAGCAUUGUGAAAAAGAUCAAAAUUAUAUCAGUGAAUGCUGGUUGGUUCCAUCAAAAUAUGAAUACCCUCUUUAAAAUAAUGCUGUCUUUUUUUUAACUGGCCAGAGUUGUUGGAGAGCAGCAGCAGUAGGAAAAGGGUGGAAAAGCUGCUGUGAGAUUUGUGCUACUGUCUGUGAAAUAUCCCCAGGCUGAAAUAUCAGACAAUUUCGGAUAAAGUGCACUGUGACGGGGUGUACCAACCCUGCACUGGGCCAAUGGGGCGUGACCAAUCACUGUGGGCCCAGGAAACCACACCCCCUCAUCCCUGCUGGGCAUGCUUAGUGUGGAAGGGACAGAUAAAAGGAGGCAGUCCAGAUCAGCCUGGGUUGCCUGAGGAGGAGGAAGGACAUGUGCUGCAGUCUCCUGCAGAGGUGUCUGUGACUCUCCAAGCGGUGGGAACCAUGGAUCUGGACUACACUGCGGACGACCAGCUGACCACGGAGACUGACUGGGACGCUGAGCUGCUGCCAGCCGAAGAGAUGCCUGAGAUGAACUUUGCGGUAGGAAGUGCCCCAGGGAAUGCUUAGAAGCUGAUGCUUGAACUCUUAACUUGGAAUUUCCAGGCUUCAUAGGAUCCUGGGUCGGAACCCAGUGGAGUAAGGUGGGCUCGGGUACCCCUACCCCCACCCCCCCACAGCAUUUGCCACUAGGUGUGGCUAUUGGGGGCUAUAGCUAUAGACUGAUUGUUUGCCCUGCCCUGCCCAGGGACUACAAACUGACUGCUUGUCCUGUCCUGCCCAGAGGAUUAUAGCCCCCUAACUGCUAUUGUUUGUCCUAGCCGGGAGAUUUAGGAGAUUAGAGACUGAGCAUUGGCUCUGCCCCACCUAUGGACUGCAGACUAUUUGCUGUCUUUACCUGGCCCAGAGUGUCAAAGCCCAGCUGCGAUUGCUUGCCCCAGCCAGGAAGCUCAAGAGGCAUAGACAGAGAGUUUACUGGGCCCUACUAGAAGCCCUGAGUCCCUCUAACUGAAAUUGCCUGAUCUAUCAGGGAGUCCCGACGGCAUGUAUCAACCCCCUCAAUGAGCCAAAGGGGGUGGGCCCGCUCAACAUGCAGGGCCCCCCAUGACACACCCACUGUCAGAAAGUAUGGCUUGUCAUUAGAGACCGUUGAACUUGCACCAUCCUCAGGGUAAAUGGGGAAAUUGGCCCCCACAGAGAGAUCCCAAAUAACAAUGUCUAUGCUACAGUCAGACUGCAGAGCCGGCUAACAAUCUGAUUGACCCCUCCCUUGGUUUCCCAAUUGUAGUGGAGAUGAGGCCUUAAUGAAACCAACAGGUUCCAAAACACAGUUAAAGCUCAGUCAAUGCUAUAAAUUGGAACCAUGUUUACAGAUCAGUGAGGGAGAGCGAGGUUGCCUGAAAAGACUGUAGCUGUGAAGUGGGCAUGGCUGUAACUUCUAUAUGAGGGGUAUAAACAGACGAGGGACCUAGCUGUGCCCUCUACCCUAGAAUAUAUUUUUGACUCCUGGAUAUUGGUUACAGAAAUGAGCCAUUUAAAAAAAAUCCACUUGCUUAUUAUUUGGAUGGGUAAGGGAUAGAGGUUAGCCAUGGCGAUAUUUCUCAGGCCACCCAGGGCUGUGAAUCACCUUGUUGCCACCUUCCUCCAGUGUGAGGGAGUCUUGCUUGUGCCAGCUGGGCAUUAGCUUUAACGCACCCAGCCCAUCAGACACUCCCACACUCUCCUCUGGGCUACACCAGCCUUGCAGGUUGACAACAGCUGCACCUCAGCCCCCAAGUCCCUUCAUAGUGUCCCUCUGUGGUAUCCAGUCCCUGAUCACUGGGUACCCACAGAAAUCCCAGAUCCUCUGUCCCCAGGUGUAUGUCUAGACUGCAAAGAAAAACCCAUGGCUCUAAGUCCCAGAGCCUGGGUCAGUUGACUGGGGCUUGGGCUGCGAGGCUAAUAAUAGCUAAUAAUAGCAGUGUUGAACGUUCCCACUUAGUCUGGAGUGUGGGCUCUGAAACUCAGUGAAGGAGGUGGUCUCGGAGCCAAAGCUCCAACCUGUGUGUGACCAUCUACGCUGCUAUUUUUGCCCCUGCGAGCCCAAGUCAAUUGACCCAGGUCUGAGACUCAGUGCCACGGAUUUUUCUUUGCAGUGUAGACAUUCCUAAUGGAACAGUGUACCUGAGUUCACCAGUUUUACCUUAGCUCACCACUCCUCUGUCACAUACACACCACUUGAAUUUGAUUAUAGUAAAACAAAAGGAAAUUUAUUUGAGAGAAUAGAGAUUCAAAUAGAAACAAGACUGAGUCAUGGAAACAAAUGGUUAUAUUCAACACAAAAUCAGAAAACUGGGGCCUACACUUAUUAAUAAUUAUCUUUCCUAUCUAAUCAAAUAGAUUCUCACUCCAAAGAGCCAGUAGCUAGUCUUUCAUGAAGCAUUGCCAUUCAUUAAGGUACCUCUUCAGUGAAUAGAUGCAGAGCGUCUUUCUCCAUCCUGUGCUAUACUGAACCAGUCUUUUGUCUUUAUUCACAUACAUGGCAGUCCCCUCGCUGUCUUAUCAUUCCUCUUCACUUCCAGGUGAUUUCAAUGUUUAUACUUUGAUGGUUUUCCAUUGGCUUUUCUGGUUUGGUGCAAUGGUGGACAAUUGAGCAAUGCAGUACAUAAUUGGCUAACUAAGGCGGGGUGACACCCCCCCUCCCACUUGAAUGGCCCUGAAUGGUGACUGAGACAUGAUUCCCUUGUGACUCAUAGGUUUCACUCCAAGACCAGAAGUACAUUUUCAAUGUAGUUAUAUUAGUCCUUAAAUAUUACCCAUACACACAUCUCAGAAUGAUUGAGUAUCGAUAAGUUACAAGAUUUCAGUAGAGACCUUGCAUGCUAACCUUUAGCGAUAAAUACCAUGAAAACAGUGUACUAGGUGUAGUGAGUUUGUCAGGGCUGAGACAGGAGUUGCUUGUAAUUAACAGUGAACUGUUUUCUAGUUGGGACCAAUGGGCCUCUGGGUCACAUCUUGUGCACUUUGCCAUCCUGGCCUGAUGCAGCUGUGUGACAGCCUCUAUACUGAUGGAGCUGGUGAAGAAUCUAAGCACUGAAAUGCCAAGAUGCUUUGGAACCAGAGAUUGGACUCAUGGCAGAUUGAAAGAACAAAAUAAUGUCGGUCCCUGGGGCAGGAUGGUGUCGGUGUGUCAUCUGUAACAGACUGUAUCUGAACUGAACACAAAAUGCCGGCUACUUCUAGCAAAUCACAGAUGCCUACUAUGACACUGCACCCAUGUUCUUCACAGUGAUAUUAUUAUGAUAUGAUUAUGGCAUAAUUAUGAAGCAUUUUAUGCAAGACAAGUUGUGAAAGGUGUCCUUGAAAAGGGUAUGAUUUGCUGAACAUGAUUAUCCUAUUUGUAUCCAUGUAUCAAUUUUGUAUCUGAAGUUAUAAAUACUGAUUAUGUAUUUGUACUUCAAAUGUAGUUUGCCCUGGGUAACACACACUAGACAAGAUGCUUUCAGUCUGGAUAGUGGAUGGGGAAGUGCCUAUUCAGUGUAAUGGGCCAUUAGAAAAAACUAUAGGCCUUAGGAGAAGCUUAUCCACCACCUGGUGAGCCUUCCUGAGAAUGCUACAGACAGCCUGUGAGUGAUGUCCUUGUAGAGUCAUAGCAGCCAUGUGACCAGGCCACAUGACUUUGGACUCCAUCUUGGGAUGUCAGUAUUUUUCCACAAACCAGUCUGCGAACCAAGUUUUGAAAUAAAUGGUUCCCACCAUAUGCAAAAGCUAUAUAAGGCAGGGAGUGAAAUCAUUUAGGGUUCUUCACUCCCCACAUAGACUCCUGGAAACACCUGAGGAACAAAGACGGAACUGGGGGAAGUGCUGGACCCAGGCUAAAUGGAUUUCUAGCCUGUAUAUGAAUGACCUGGGGAUUUCAAGCUGUAAAGUAAGUGCAGCCUGCCCCUUAAGAAUUUGCAGCCUGUUUGUAUCAUUUCUCAGGGUGAGAAUCUGCUAAUUCAUAUCCAAUCUAUUUAGUGUAUUAAGCUUGCGUUUUUUGUUUAUGUGCUAGGUAAUCGGCUUUGAUCUGAUUGAUAUCACUUAUAAUAAUUUAAAAUCUAUCUUUUGUAGUUAAUAAAGUUGUUUUUGUUUUAAUCUAAA